rnacentral:rRNA from 1 species
GACGAACGCUGGCGGCGUGCUUAACACAUGCAAGUCGAACGGAAAGGCCCCUUUGGGGGUACUCGAGUGGCGAACGGGUGAGUAACACGUGAGUAACCUGCCCUUGACUUCGGGAUAACUUCAGGAAACUGGGGCUAAUACCGUAUAGGAAUCCUUGCUGCAUGGUGGGGGUUGGAAAGCUUCGGCGGUUUUGGAUGGACUCGCGGCUUAUCAGCUUGUUGGUGGGGUAGUGGCUUACCAAGGCUUUGACGGGUAGCCGGCCUGAGAGGGCGACCGGCCACAGUGGGACUGGGAUACGGCCCAGACUCCUACGGGAGGCAGCGGUGGGGAAGAUUGAACAAUGGGCGGAAGCCUGAUGCAGCAACGCCGCGGGCGGGAUGACGGCCUUCGGGUUGUAAACCGCUUUCAGCAGGGGCGAAGCUGGUGGUGACGGUACCUGCAGAAGAAGCACCGACUAACUACGUG